rnacentral:misc_RNA from 1 species
AAGUCGUAACAAGGUCUCCGUUGGUGAACCAGCGGAGGGAUCAUUAGCGAGUUAAUCAUAAACUCCAAAACCCCUGUGAACUUACCUAUGUUGCCUCGGCAGGUCGUGGUGUGUAGCGGUGACCACUGGGUCGCUUGCCUCGCACCACGCUGAAAAGACCUGUCAAAGGACCCCUAAACUCUGUUUUUACAACUGUAUCUCUGAGUCUAUUAUACAAAUAAGUUAAAACUUUCAACAACGGAUCUCUUGGCUCUG